AUUGGUUAUGGCAAAGAGCAAGAGGGCAGCAGGAACUCGAAGCUGGCUUGACCCACUCACUGAGGGAGGGUCUUGGGAAAACCAGACCAACUGAGAGUCAUCAAAAGUUGGCAUUCUCAAUUCUCAAUCCAAGAAAUAGAACUCACAGCUGCAAGGAGGUAGUGACAGCUUGCAUGAGAAUUAAAGAAGUCCGUACAGCGAUAGCAAUGGAACAGUGAAAUAUGU
rnacentral:lncRNA from 1 species